rnacentral:rRNA from 1 species
UACAGAGGGUGCGAGCGUUAAUCGGAAUUACUGGGCGUAAAGCGCACGUAGGUGGCGACGUAAGUCGGGUGUGAAAGCCCCGGGCUCAACCUGGGAAUUGCAUUCGAGACUGCAUUGCUGGAGUACGGAAGAGGAAGGCGGAAUUCCCGGUGUAGCGGUGAAAUGCGUAGAUAUCAGGAAGAACACCCGUGGCGAAAGCGGCUCUCUGGAACGGUACUGACGCUGAGACGCGAAAGCGUGGGGAGCGAACAGG